rnacentral:sRNA from 1 species
UGGUCGAUCAGGGUCGGCGAGAUGAAGUGGACAUGGGCGUCGAUCGCCCCCGCGGUGACGAACUUGCCAUUGCCCGCAAUGAUCUCGGUCUCGGGGCCGAUGACCAGAUCGGGGUGGACGCCGUCCAUGGUGUCGGGGUUGCCGGCCUUGCCGAUCCCGGUGAUCCGGCCGUCGCGGAUGCCGAUGUCCGCCUUGCCCACGCCCCAGUGGUCGAUGAUCACGGCGCCGGUGGCGACGGUGUCCGGGGCCCCUUCGGCGCGGGUGGUGCGAGCCUGCCCCAUCGAUUCA